CUUCUUUUCUUUUUUUUUUUUAAUUCUUUUUUUCCCUAAAAAUGCAUUACCAGUGCAACUCAUCCAUAUUUCCACCACCUUCUCCCUCCUGUUCUCGCGCUGAAGUCUAUAAUGCUGAAAUUAUAGCAUCCCCCUCGUCACCAUGGCAACGCUCAGGGAUGUAUUUAAAAAAAAAAAAAAAAAAAAAGACCAGAAGCCCUCCAAGGAUUAUGACUUCAGUGAGGGAUCAGGCUGGAGGGGAAUCUGGGUCAUGGCUGGAGCAGGCUUUUCUUCCAGCCUGUCUUCAGUAAUUCCCCUUACAGCACCGGGGCCGCGUCAGGGCAGGGCAGGACAGAGCUGCCACUGGCACCCAUGGGUGCCCUCAAGGGGCUCCAGCUGCUCUGGGGGGUGCUGCCUCCCUCUAAAUGAGCCUUCUUAUUGCCCAUGUACACUCUGGGAAAGAGCAUCCUCUGCAAGCUCAGGAUUCCCACCCAAUAUUGAGGUGUUUGAACCAAACCCUUUUUGUGGUGCCUGCAGGAGUGCCAGAGCCCUGCUCCCCCUCCACCCCGCUUUGUGCACUGCAAGCUUUCUCUCUCAUCCCCCAAAAUAAACAGGACUUUUUAAAAUAUAUUUUUUUUACUCCUCUUCUUCUUUUUAUUUUUUUUUCCUCCCUUUUUCCACACCCCCAGAGCCGCUGUUGCUGGUGGCAGGGAGCCCAGACUCUGUAGGAACUCAGAAAUGCUGCGAAUCCAAGCCCUGGCUGCCCUCUCAGUUUCGCAAUCCUUUGGAAGGGGGGAGAGAGAGAAGGAAUAAAAUGGGAGGGGAUUUUUUUUUUCUUUAUUAGAGAUUUAUAGACUUUCCCACCAGUAGGGACAAGGAGCUGGAGCCGAGCGGCCAAUUUCCUACAGUAAGUUUCCAACACUGCUCCUCUCUGGCCACUGCAAAACCCUCUGCAGCCUCUCCUCUGGUGGGUUGGGCUGGUGAAAUUUUUGGAAAACCAUGGGAAAUGCUGGCAUUUCCAGUGCUGGGGGGGGUUGGCAGUGUGAGGGGCUGCUGAUGUAGGGGGUGGUGGGCCAGCACCUCCCAUGGGCUAAGUGAUGCUAAGGGCCAGGAAAAAUGAGCUCAGGUGGUGCUUUUUGAGCAAUUAAAGCCUUUUCUCGACCUGUUUUUUGGUUGCAUGUGAACCCUUUGGCUUGGGCUUCGUGGUGGUGCCUGAGAGCUGCUCAUGGCUGCUGGUCCCUCCAGCCAGCUCGGUGCUGCUGGGGCACGUUCCCUGCUGUCCUCAUCCCCCUCAGCCAUUUGGCCUCUUGAGGAGAGAGUUUGUGCAGCUCCUUGUGCGCUGCUGUGGAGGGGCCCAGCCAAUGCCACGGUGGCUCCUGUCCCCACAGAUGCCAUUUUAUCCCUGCCUGGUGCUGGACAUGGGGCAGGGUGUGAGGGUUCAGCUCCUGGCCCUGCUUUGCACCCUCGUGCAGGAUCUGACCCUCUGCCAGUGCUCCUGCUGGAGGAAAAAAUCCUCCCUUAAGCUGUGCCUGGAUGAGAUCUGAGUGCUGGCAGCUCUGCUCCCAGUAUCCAGUGAUUAAUGGGAUUAAAUUGGUUCCCCUAGUGAGGUUUUUUUUUCUUUUGCAUCUGGUUUUCUCAAGACUUUUUAAGCAGGGGGAGGCCGGGGCCAUGUCGCACUGAGAUCUGAUUAGAUAAGGGAGAGCUGCCUGUGAACAAAAUUCCUACCGGAUAAUUAUUUAUACCUCCAUGUGCGUCACUAAUAAACAUCUGGAUCUGCUCCAAACAUCUUCAUUUGAUUUGUUUUGUAGUCUCUCAACAGGGAUGUUUCUCAGCUCCCCACCUCCCUCUUGUCGUGUGGCUGAAAUGAGGGGUGGGUUUGAGCAGUUGCCCCCAGCACCAGCCUUGCUCUCCCAUUUCCCCCUGGGCAUUUUUGCACUCUUGGGGCUGCUUUAACAAAUUCCCACUCCUGGGUGCCCGUGAUGGGGCGACAGUCACGUUGCCCUUUCUCAGGAGGAGAAAAUAUGUGGUGUUGGUGGUUGAAGAAAAAAAUAUGAGUGGUCAAAACAAGCCAAAAAGCAACCCCAGAUGUGUUGCCUUCUAUUUUAAACAUCCUCGUUUGAUUUGGGGGCGAACCAGACUCCUGACCUUUCGGAGCACGUGGGGCUGGCAGUCACGCCAAGCUCUCCCAGGCCAGGGCUGACUUCUUGCUCUGUUUGUGUAGAGCCAAGAAAUUACUAUUAAUAACUUUCCCUGAAUGAGAGCUGAGUACCUGCUUCCCUGGGGCUCCUUGGAAGGCUCCGGCUUGGGCGGAUAACAUCAACAGUCAUUAUGAACGGCACUGAGAGCAUCGGCCGCAGCUGGGAUGCAGAUGGGAAGGGACUGAUGUGGGAGGGGAGACAUGAAGGAAGCCUCUGGCUGGCUGUGAAGCGCCUUGGGCAGGGCUUGCAGGCGCCACGAGCCAUUUUUUGUGUGUUCCUCCAUCCUUUUUACAGCCCUGGCCCCUCUUUGCACGAACGCGAUGCGAAAACCAUCCCGAGUCGCCGGAGCCAGCGGCGAAUGCCAGCUCCAUCCAUGUUGGCUCUAAUCUGUGUCUCACCUCUGCUGGGCUGUCAGGAGGGAAAAAAAAUAAAUAAAAAAGUUUCAGUGCUGCA